ACGAACGCUGGCGGCGUGCUUAACACAUGCUUUUCGAACGGACCGCCCCUGAAAGAGUUUUCGGACAAUGGAAGGGAACGCUUAGUGGCGGACUGGUGAGUAACGCGUGAGGAACCUGCCUUUCGGAGGGGGACAACAGUUGGAAACGACUGCUAAUACCGCAUGACACAUGACUGUGGCAUCGCAGACUUGUCAAAGAUUUUAUCGCCGAAAGAUGGCCUCGCGUCUGAUUAGCUAGUUGGUGAGGUAACGGCUCACCUAGGCGACGUAUCUUUUCCCGGACUGAGAGGUUGGCCGGCCACUUUGGGACUGACAUACGGCCCAGACUCCUACGGGAGGCUGCAGUGGGGAAUAUUGGGUAAUGAACACACGUCUGACCCUCCAACGCCGCGUGAAGGAAGAAGGCUUUCGGGUUGUAAUCUUCUUUUAUGGGGGAAGAGCAUAACACGGUCCCCCCUUGAAUAAUCCACGGCUAACUACAUGCCUCCCCCCGCGUUAAUCACCUUGGCGGCACGCGUUGUCCGGAUUUAUCGCGUGUAAAGGGCUGGCAGUCGGAAAGACAAAUCCUAUGUGAAAUCCGCGGGCUCACCCCGCGAAAUGCAUUUGAAACUGUUUCCCUGGAGUAUCGGAGAGGUCAUCGGGAAUUCCUUAGUGUAGCGGUGAAAUGCGGUGGAUAUUAGGAAGAACACCAGUGGCGAAAGGCGGAUGACUGGACGACAACUGACGGUGAGGCGCGAAAGCGUGGGGAGCAAACAGGAUUAGAUACCCUGGUAGUCCACGCUGUAAACGAUCAAUACUAGGUGUGCGGGGACUGACCCCCUGCGUGCCGGAGUUAACACAAUAAGUAUUGCACCUGGGGAGUACGAUCGCAAGGUUGAAACUCAAAGGAAUUGACGGGGGCCCGCACAAGCGGUGGAUUAUGUGGUUUAAUUCGAAGCAACGCGAAGAACCUUACCAGGGCUUGACAUCCUACUAACGAAGUAGAGAUACAUUAGGUGCCCUUCGGGGAAAGUAGAGACAGGUGGUGCAUGGUUGUCGUCAGCUCGUGUCGUGAGAUGUUGGGUUAAGUCCCGCAACGAGCGCAACCCCUAUUGUUAGUUGCUACGCAAGAGCACUCUAGCGAGACUGCCGUUGACAAAACGGAGGAAGGCGGGGACGACGUCAAAUCAUCAUGCCCCUUAUGUCCUGGGCUACACACGUAAUACAAUGGCGGUUAACAGAGGGAUGCAAAUCCGCGAGGAGGAGCGAACCCCCAAAAGCCGUCCCAGUUCGGAUUGCAGGCUGCAACCCGCCUGCAUGAAGUCGGAAUCGCUAGUAAUCGCGGAUCAGCAUGCCGCGGUGAAUACG
rnacentral:rRNA from 1 species